GACAGAGGGUGCAAACGUUGUUCGGAAUUACUGGGCGUAAAGCGCAUGUAGGCGGCCAAGCAGGUCGGAUGUGAAAGCCCUCGGCUCAACCAAGGAAGUGCAUUCGAAACCGCAUGGCUCGAGUCCCGGAGAGGAUGGUGGAAUUCUCGGUGUAGAGGUGAAAUUCGUAGAUAUCGAGAGGAACACCGGCGGCGAAGGCGGCCAUCUGGACGAGGACUGACGCUGAGAUGCGAAAGCGUGGGGACAAACAGG
rnacentral:rRNA from 1 species